CAUACCAUUUGCAAAAGUAGACAACCCAAGGUAUUACAAAUAGGGUAUGUCCAGUCUUUUUUCUUAGCCACUUAGUCACAAACACUGGCCAAAGUUAGUGUUCAUAUUUGUUGAGCGUGAAAAAUGCAACACUAAAGUGAACGCUAAUUUUGGCCAGUGUUUGUGACUGAGAGGCUACUAAAAAAAAAAAAGACUGGACAUGCCCCUUGGGUUGUCUACUUUUGCAAAUGGUAUG